UCCCGAUUAUAUUUUUUAUUUUUUUUAAAAAAAAAUUGCUAAUGUACGGGUAUGUUCCACAUACAAUUCAUAGAAAUCCUAAUAUAUGCUUAUUUUUCUUCUUCAUUCAAUCUUGACGUAGCCAAACGCCCAAACCUUGGGUCUCACCAAACAAAUUUUUUGACAUAGCAAAGCUUUUUUUUUUAUAUGGCUAAAUUUUCUCUCCAAGCUCAAAGAAAUGCGGUCGUAGCAUGCAGCAUGCAACACCGUAUAUUUUAUUAAUGUAUAAUAAUUCCUUUUUCUUAUCCUAUGACGAGUGGUGAACAAACAAUAAUUCCUUGUUAGUUAUUAUCAUACUCGCUGCAAAUCCAUACCGCGAGGGCCCACUACUCAUCCACCCGCUCUCGAUUAUAUUUAAGACCAAAUGUUUAGAGAGGUUCAGAUCCGUUCCUAU
rnacentral:lncRNA from 1 species